rnacentral:rRNA from 1 species
AGCGAACGCUGGCGGCAGGCUUAACACAUGCAAGUCGAGCGGGCAUCUUCGGAUGUCAGCGGCAGACGGGUGAGUAACACGUGGGAACGUACCCUUCGGUUCGGAACAACUCUGGGAAACUGGAGCUAAUAGCGGAUACGCCCCUAUGGGGAAAGGCUUACUGCCGAAGGAUCGGCCCGCGCCUGAUUCGUUAGUGGGUGGGGUGACGGCCUACCAAGGCGACGAUCAGUAGCUGGUCUGAGAGACUGAUCCGCCACACUGGGACUGAGCCACGGCCCUGACUCCUGCGGGAGGCGGCAGUGGGGAAUAUAGGACAAUGGGCGCAAGCCUGAUCCAGCCAGGCCGCGUGAGUGAUGAAGGCCUUAGGGUUGUAAAGCACGUUUGUCCGGGACGAUAAUGACGGUACCGGAAGAAUAAGCCCCGGCUAACUUCGUG